UUGUGUUUUAAAAGCACUCUCGUGUUUCAUUUCAUUCGCAUAAAUAUCGUUUCAAUGUUAGUAUUGGUGGCUUGUUUAAUUUUGGUUAAUUAUAUAUUUUUUAAAAAGGUGUUUAGAUUUCAGAUUUUGUUUAAAUUUGCAGACAGACUGAAUUUAAAAACAAAAAAAACUGGCAAGUCGCUUCCGAGCUUGGUCGUGGAUCGAAUCAACAUUUGAGGUCCGCCACCGUAUGAUGAGUCAGUGACGCGUUAAUCCACUGUGAGCGAGGCAAUAACAGUUAAGAGGUUCACAUAAACAGACAGAUGCCCGCUGGUUCAUAAACAAACUCUCGACUUUCUGGCUCGGGUUGCCCCCCCCCCCCCACCCCCCCUACCUCCCACCCCCACCCGCUUGGUUUCCCGUACGACCUCGGAGUGUUCCUUGCAGCACAGCGAGAAGCAAAAACUUCCGUUAGUGGCUUCGCUCCCUGGCCCGUCAGAAUGGAUCUGCCGGAGGAGGGGAAAACAGAAAGGCUCGCUGACCCGUGGACUAGUUCAAUUAGCAUUUGCUAGGGACACCUCCUCUCAGCAGUGAAUCGCUUGCUUGUGUGCACGCGUGUGCGCGUGUAUGCGCGCGGGCGCGUUCGUUCCAUGGGUAUAACUGCACGUUGGACAUGAAAUAUUAAAACAUAAGGCUGAGAGUGCAGCAAGGUUGGAGCCCUCAUUCCCCUCCCUCAUCAAAAAUAAAAGAACGGCAAGUGUAAUGUAUUUGAAAGAUGGGGGGGGGGGGGGGGAAUGAAAGGAGGAGGGCUUAUUUGACUUAUUAAAAUAGGAACCAUUUUUAGCCAACGUGGAUUAUUGCCACAACGGGUACGAUAUUAAAUACACCUUUGCUGUCAGUAAUUAUUAAGUUACUAGUCGUGACAUUAAAAAAUGUUCGUUAUAUCGAGUACAAAAUAAAAUGGUUCGCACAUCUUGGUGAAAAACAUCUUGCAUGUGCCAUCAUCGCGCUGAUAUAUAUAUUUUUGAUAUCUUUUGCAACCCUGCUUUUUAAUAUGUACCUAAAGCAUAAUACUUCAUCAAACUUCAUAUAUUGAGUUUGAGCAAGUGCAGCUCAGAGUGAAAUAUUUCACGAUUUUUUUUAUUACUACAUUUGUCAAAUAUGACAUGAGAAGUGAUCAAAAUCAUAAAAAAAUAGAAAUUAGUUCAGAAUUAGCUUUCUAAAAAAUAUUUUCCUCUAUAAGGACUCCACUUCUUGAAAUAAAUCAACUUGACCAUUGUUCUCUCAAAAUAUUGCAAUACGACUGUCAGCGCAACCAAUUUCUCUUUCCAUCUGAAUUGAAUUAUAGUUCUGAGCUUUCACAGUAGAGCUCAAGAGAUUAAAACACCUGCCGUGGCCCAAAAGCCGCCCGGACACAACGACCAAGAGCGUGUUUGCGAAAUAAGGGUCAGAGGUGGGCGAGUUGAGUCGGCUCGCUCGUAAUGGCUUUAACCUCUGACUACCAGCGCUGACCCGAGCUGUCUCCUAAUGCGGCGUGACUGACGGCUCGGCGGCGGCCCGCAUUCUUUGCGCCCUUUUGUUGUGAGAUUGAUGCUACUCGUGCGCUCUGACUGAUUGACACAAGUUGCGACUCAGGAGUACAUUGCCUUACAUCCGUACUGCAGUACCUUGACUCAACUGGAGUGCCCCCUGUGUAAGCGUUUUAAAGAAAAAAAAUGGAAUCUGUACUUUCAGAAAACUUCUUAUUGGGAUGCUCAGUUGAAGUUAACUGGAAAACAAAACAUUUAAAAAAAAACGAGAAUUACAUAUUUGUGUUGAACUAAAAACAUAAUGAGAAUAAAACGUCAUCUAUUAAAAACACGCAACCUUUCCUUCCGCUUGAUGCUAAUACACAACGUAAGACGCCUUAGCUUGCUAACGAAUAGCACCUAUAUGGCGGUGUUAUGAUGCUAAGCAAGAGAUACUUCCAGGCAUAUAUUCUUUAUCCUCUACAGAAAAAAAAUGCCGCUUACGGAGUCACUUACGCUAGUUGUGAAACUCUUCUUUCAUGACUGAGUUAUACUGCCCCCUGUGGCCAACUCAUGCACACCAGAAGGGUCUCGAGGCAUCAUUGAACAGUGAAACUAAAAUGAUAAAAGGCACUCAAAUAUCGUUAGAGGGAAUUUAGAGCUGCAGAGUAAAAUGUUAUCAUCAUCAUCAUCAUCAUCAUGGAGAUGAUGAUGCAAAAGUGUAUUUCUGGCAAGCUUCCGUUUGGACUCACACGGCAUGCAGGAGCUUUUCCGCUAAUGGAGCAGAGGAUUUGAAAUGUGACUAAUUGUCGCAUCAAUUUCGCUCACCAAUGCGCCUCUUGUUCUGGUGGGAGGAAACCAAACCGCUGUUGUCGUUUCCCCGGCAUAUUGUUUUUUACAUAUUUCAAAUGCGCGAUGGUGACGUGAAGCUGGGCGCGACGUGGGCGCUGUCGGGAGAACAUCUGCGCCAGCCUGUUGGAAGAAAGAAAAUGAGCACAGAGGUGGCGAGUGAGACGUGCGAUUGAAAAUGCUCGCCGAGCUGACCUCAUCAACGUGUGUGCUGAGGCUUGAAGGCUCUUACAAAGGUCGUGACCUUUAAUACCACUGUCUAGGUCUUCACUCACAGCUGUUGUCUGCGUGCUGCAGAACUGCAGAUGUUGGCUCAUUUGGACUCGGGAUGUUCGGUCUAAUUCAUUAAUUAAUCCUAAAAUACUCUCAAACAAUGGAACUGUCAUCUAAUGACAGUUUUUUGUUUUUGUUUACAGACAGAUUCUUGAUGAUUGGAUCUUUGCUGACUGAUUAGAACUGAAUAAAGAGGCUCCGUUUUGUCCCGAUCGCUUCUCGUGACACACGAAAGACACGUUUGUGUGAUGUACAUGUGGGGAUGUGUUGCUUUGCACAUUAUCGUGUAGGUGUUGUUUUCAUUAUGGCGGAUGGCAGCAGACACAGGCAAAUGUACAGGCCUAUAAACGCUAAUGGAUCCAGUGGGGACAGCGAGGUGGAUAUGAAACUUGGAAGGGAGACGCUUGUGGUAUAUUGCCUUUAAUAUGCAAUGUUGACACUACAUGAUAAGGCAAGGAACAUUUCGUACAAAAAGCCACAAUAUGAUGUCAAUUUGCUAAAAAAAAAAAAAAAAAAAAAAGACGUGAGGAAAAUGUGACACGGAUACUGGGACCGGCUCUCAAUGCUGCAGUCCCGUUGCAUUUCGAUUGCGUUCAAAUUCUGACAGCUUUUUAUUUUUAUUUUUUUGUCAUUAACAUAACCAAGCACAUUUUUUUUUCCAAACACACACGCAGUGCACUGAAAGUUGAGUUUCUGACAAUUACAACAAUGUUGGUAUGGGAACAUGCUAAUUUCUGCUUCUCAAGCUGCUAAGUAUCCCUUCCAACCAACAUUUUUAUAUUUGCAUUGUCUUUAUCCAGUCGUGGUUGACCUUGAGACAGAUUCUUCAGAUCCUGCACCAUGUUCGUCCUAAUAUAUAUUGCACGGUAUAUUCUUUUGCUUCAAGCUUAAUGACAUCAAGGUCGCUUUAUUGUCACGCUUUUAACAAAUUGUUUACUAAUACGAAGUGACGGUAAAUGCCACCGGUAGCGCUUCUUUCUCUGGAGUGUCAAGUAGAAACCUUUCAUGUUCCCGGAUUAUUUGUGACCUAAUUUGUUGAGCUGCGACACACGUUUCAAAAGCGAUUAAAGUGAAAUACUCAAAACACGAGUCCCCGCAUCCCAAAUAAAAACACAACAGAUAUAGAGAUACAAUAAUAAUAAUAAUAAUAAUAAUAGAAGAAGAAUAUUACAAAUAAAUACAAACUAAAAUUCAAUACAAAAGAACAGCAACGAUUUUACAAAAUGAUCGACAGCUGUAAUAAUACAGAAAUAGUUACAACAGCACAAAACUAACAAGAAUAAUAAAAAAAUAACAAUACAAAAAAAAAAUGACAACAAUAAUCCCCCAAAUACCGACAACAAUACAAAAAUACCAACGGCAAUAGUACAAGAGUACCAAAAACAACAGUAAUACAAAAAUAACAAAAAAAGUAAAACCGUCAACCACAAAAAUGUAAAAUAGACAAACAACAAUGAGACAAAAAAAAAUGUCCUUCUGAAUUUUUGAGCACUUCUUACCGUUCGGUGAUGCAUUUUGAUCCCUCAACCCAAUUUUCCUGUGAAUGUUUGUUCUGUUGUGAGGAAGAACAUGUCAAGGACUCACCAUCGCCCUGAAGCGAGCCAAAAUUAUAUCGGCAUCAUUUGACGCUUUGUAAUUGGCACGUCAAAUGCAACCCUCCAGCUGUAUUAUUUUGCUGUUGAUCGUUUAUUUUUAUUUUAUUUUUAGGAAGGGGUGUUUUUAAAUCAUAAGAAUUCAAGAACCGAGCCACUCUCCUCUAUUUGAUUUUGUUUUUGGAUUACUCAUCGGCUUGUUUUGUUUUCAACACCUGCUUUGGAAACAGAGUUCAGCGGUGCGGAAAAGCGCGACAGAAGCCUGGGAGGGUUGCGGAUCACAGGCAAAGUCAAAUAUUUGGGAAUGGGGCGGCUGGGAGGCGCACGCCAGAGAUCUUUUCAUCCCCCGCAGACGGGGGGGGGGGUUUCUGUGUCUGUCAGAAUGGAUCGAAUGCUUGGAAGAAUGAGACAAUGAACAAACAAAAGACAAAAUAAAGAGUGAUUACCAGCCAUUGGAUGACGAUAGCUGUUGUAACUUUGUGCAUGUCUCCCAUUUGAAAGUGAACACUUGAUAUCAUAUGGGCGGUGUCAUCCCAAUGCCGUUUUGUAGGCAGUAAAUUUAAAAAAAAAAGUUAAAUAAAAUAUGGGGAUUAGGUUAUGUCCCAGAUAUUCUCUGAUGCUGAUUAAAUGACAAACUAGCCUGGGCGAGUCAAUCCUUUACUAUUUUAUGCUAACCUAGCAUGACUUUGCCUUGACUAACCUAUCAUGGAUGAGCAUAAGCUAAACGAACCAAACCUUGACCAGCCUGACUUUACCGACCAUAACUGUGCCAUUUUUAAUCUAGUUUAAUUUAUCCUGUGCUAACCUGAUCACUUAACAUAAUUAAACCUAACGUUACCUGACCUUGCUUAGUUUAGCCUCGUGUAACUCAUCCUUUGCUAAACUAACCUUGCCUAGCCUAGCCAAACAUUGCAAAGCACAACAUGGCACGGUCAACAAUUUUGUUCAGCUACAUUAAAAAAAAAGAAAACGUGUUGUUUUCCGCAUUUGUCACAAGAGCCCUGAGAAAACACAAUUUAUAAAAAGAUAUUACAAUAAAUAAGAAAUAAACUGUUUCGUAAGAUUGGAGGUUACGAGUCCUGCCAAGGUUUCGCAAAGAAAGUUUGAAUAAAUAUGAAAAAGGACAAUGCGCCCGUCUAGAUAAGUCACAUUUUAUGUUCAAAUGAGUUUUUUUCCCCCCCAAAUGCUAUUAAAUGGCCACUGUAAAGCAGCUCCAUUCCUGUCUUGGCUGUAUGUGCACGAGCUUCAAUAUAAGCCAGAUAAUUGGCUUCAGUUGCUUUGUGUCCACCCGCCGUCAUCUCCCAUUUUUUUUUUCUUUUCCUUAUUUUUUUUUGUGCUUUCCAUAUCUGCCACCAGGGAGAGUCAUAGAAAUGCUGGCUGUCGAGAUGAGAAGAGUCAGCCUUCCACUUAUUAAGACUGUGACACUAUCUGUCCAUCUAUCCUUUUUUCUCAGUUUCGGCGUGGCUAGUAAUUUGCAUUGGCCAACCCACAUCAGUGGUGUAAUGUCGCUACGAUUCGGCUGUGUCGGCGACGGGGCCCUCCGUCCUUGGAAGUGGGUCGACUUGCGGACUGAAAGACAGACCCGAGCCUUCAGCUUUACCGCGGAUCAUUAAUGCAUGAGGGAGAUGGAGACGUGCAGUGUCCUGUUCCACUGGAGAGAAAAGGUCAAAGCCACGGGAGAUGGUGGAGGGUGGUGGUAACAUGAUGCCCACCCCCCCUUCUCAAAAAGAAAAAAAAGACACUUACUUGUUUUUGUUGAUGCAUCUAUCGCAUGUGUUCACUGCAUUUCACUUUUUCCACAUUUUAUGUGAAAGCUUUUUUUUUUAAAAACAGGUUCAAGUGAGGGCGGCCCGGUAGUCCAGUGGUUAGCACGUCGGCUUCACAGUGCAGGGGUACCGGGUUCGAUUCCAGCUCCGGCCUCCCUGUGUGGAGUUUGCAUGUUCUCCCCAGGCCUGCGUGGGUUUUCUCCGGGUGCUCCGGUUUCUUCCCACAUUCCAAAAACAUGUGUGGCAGGCUGAUUGAACACUCUAAAUUGUCCCUAGGUGUGAGUGUGAGCGUGGAUGGUUGUUUGUCUCUGUGUGCCCUGUGAUAGGCUGGCAACCGAUUCAGGGUGUCCCCCGCCUACUGCCCGGAGACAGCUGGGAUAGGCUCCAGCACCCCCCGCGACCCUAGUGAGGAUCAAGCGGUUCGGAAGAUGAA